UCAGACGGGUGGUUUUCCCUGUCUUUACACACUGCCAGCACGUUACCAGGACAGAGUCCACUGGAGCCCAUUAAAUUACGUGGGGCUAGUUCUGGUGAAGCUGCAUUGGGCUCUGUGAUGGCAGCAUGCCAACAGCGUAUGGAGAAGGAACCUUGAGGAUUCGUGUGACUAGUCAUCUCUUAAUUGAAGAAGCCAGGAACAGCACAGAAACUUUGUGGGAUGGCAGCCCACAACUCACAACGAGCUAAAUCGAGAUAGCGACAGCCUUCUGAGCAAAGCAGAACAAUUACUGUAAAAUCAGGCUGCCAAUAAGGUCAAGAGACACAAAGAAACCUCCAAAUACAUUGAUGGGUGUGACUGUGAUGCCUUAGCAAUAACUAGAUUUGCCAAAAACUCUGAUCUGAUGGGCACAAGGGCAAAGAAUGAAAACAUCUGGACCUUGACUCUGUUUUGGCUCAUUUCUUCUAUUUUGCAUUUUCUUCCAUGCCAGAUCUCCACUUCUGGGUGCUUUCAGGCAGCACAUCAUUAAUCCUGGAUGGUCAAGAAGAAGUAUUUCAUUGUUUUAAUCCAAUUUUCUAGUGUUAAGGUCAAGCUACAUGAAAAAUUAGAUGCCAAAGAAUCUGAGUGUUUGAAGUGGAGAAGGAAGAAUCUAGACACUGAAUGUUCAGAAGACAAACCAAAGACAUUCAUGGGGAAUUCAAGUGUAAUUCCUAACCCAAGGAUGAGAAUCUUGUAGACCUUCAAAUGGUGGACCGCAGCUGCCAUCACUCUUGACCAUUGGAUAUGCUUGCAGUCUAGCAACAUUUGGAAGGCCAUAUAAUUCCUACCACAAACCAGAAUCUGUGAUGAACUAUACUAACAUAGCCCAGAGCAUUUGUAUUCUAGCAUAUUACUAGGUGACCAUUAUCAGGAAUGGAGAACAGUUAGCACCACACAUUUGCUGGAGUUAGGUGCACAGGGCCCCUGAAAAAGUGGAAAAAAUUGAAUAAAAAGCCUCUGAGAACACCUUUCUAACUCCUUCAGCACAAAUCUAUGGUCAACUUCUGCUUGCUAACUUUUGAACAUUUCAUUAUUCACAGAUUUGAUAAAAAUGUUCUUUCUAUUA